GCCCUGAUGGUCUAGCGGUAUGAUUCUCCCUUAGGGCUUAAUUCCCCACAUCUGGGAGAGGUCCCAGGUUCGAUCCCUGGUUAGGGCC